GACGAACGCUGGCGGCGUGCCUAAUACAUGCAAGUCGAGCGCUGAAGGGUGGUACUUGUACCAACUGGAUGAGCAGCGGACGGGUGAGUAACGCGUGGGGAAUCUGCCUUUGAGCGGGGGACAACAUCUGGAAACGAAUGCUAAUACCGCAUAAUAACUUUAACCACAAGUUUCAAGUUUGAAAGAUGCAAUUGCAUCACCCAAAGAUGAUCCCGCGGUGUAAUAGGUAGCUGGUUAGGUAAAGGCCGACCAAAGCGAAGAUACCUAGCCGACCUGGGAGGGUGGACGGCCCCAAUGGGAACUGAGACACGGCCAAGACCCCUACGGGAGGCAGCAGAGGGGAAUUUUGGACAAUGGGGGAAGGCCGGCCGAGGAAAGCCGGCGUGGUGGAGGAAGGUCUUGGGUCGGUAAACCCCGUUUGUUGGGAAAGAAGAUAGGGAGAGUGAAAAGCUCAUGUAGUGACGGUAACUACCCAGAAAGCGACGGCUAACUACGUG
rnacentral:rRNA from 1 species